AACGAACGCUGGCGGCAGGCUUAACACAUGCAAGUCGAACGCCCCGCAAGGGGAGUGGCAGACGGGUGAGUAACGCGUGGGAAUCUACCUAGUUCUACGGAACAACAGUUGGAAACGACUGCUAAUACCGUAUAUGCCCUACGGGGGAAAGAUUUAUCGGAAUUAGAUGAGCUCGCGUAAGAUUAGCUAGUUGGUGAGGUAAUGGCUCACCAAGGCGACGGCCUUUAGCUGGUCUGAGAGGAUGAUCAGCCACACUGGGACUGAGACCCGGCCCAGAAUCCUACGGGAGACAGCAGUGGGGAAUAUUGGACCAUGGGCGCAAGCCUGAUCCAACCAUGCCGCGUGAGUGAUGAAGGCCGUAGGGUUGUAAAGCUCUUUCAGUAGAAAAGAUAAUGACGGUACCUACAGAAGAAGCCCCGGCUAACUUCGUGCCAGCCGCCGCGGUAACAC
rnacentral:rRNA from 1 species